UCUCUGAGUGUGAUCUGCGCACUUCCGGACCCCAGGCUGGACUCGCCGUGGUUAGCACCUCAGACCCGGUCGGUUCUGGGGUCGUCCGCUGCCGCUCGGAUCGGCGGUCCCCUCCGCUGCCGGCUGUGGAGAGGGCACGUGUGGCGCAAUCCACGGCCGCAGAGCCGGGAGGGCACCAGGGUCCUGGUGGGCGGCUCCGUCUGACGUCUGCUGCGGAGGGUCGGGAUUCCUGUCUGGUUUGGAGGGGGGCCGCGGGCAAGCGGGGUCUCACUGCUUCUCUGUCCUCCCGCAGCUCGGCCUCUUUGGAGCCCACCAUCCGCAGGGGGCUAGUGCAGGGGACCCAGUGACAACCUUGGCCCCGGUCCCUGAACUCCGCUCAGGCGACUGGGCCUCCUGUGGGCGAGGAGGGACUGCUGAGGAAAGGCCCCCCCUUCUCUCCGACCCUCCCUCAGUCCUGCGGACCCCACAUCACAGGCAACGGUUUUCUUAGUGUCUUUGCAAAGGCUUAGAAUCAGACUGGAACUAAGGCGGCUCAGUCCUGUCUGCAUAUUCAAGCUUGUUUCUACCCCCAGAGAGUCUGGGAGGCUCGGAGGUGAGGCCGGAGCUGAACCUCCAGCAGACGAGUUUUAGUGUCUCUGCAGACUUCUUGGAUCAAACUCCAGUGUGUCUCUAUCCUGAGUAGGAACAUACCUAAGACCAACCUCGUGUGUAUUCAGGAGAGAGAUAGGUGUGGGGUCCAGUUGAUGCUUCCAGCCACAGUAAAUUUGCUCCUGAACCUUCGUGUUCCUGUUCCCUGGGAAAAUGAGGAAAGGAGAAGGAGGGCUCAGGAGAAGUCACCAGAUCUUGUCCCAUGUUUGGUGUCUGCUCUUCCCAGACCAGCAGGGAAGGACCAUGUGCCAGGGGCCAUUGUCAUUCAGAGAUGUGGCUGUGGGUUUCACUCGUAAAGAAUGGCAGCAGCUGGACCCUACACAGAGGACCCUGUACCGGGAUGUGAUGCUGGAGAACUAUAGCCACCUGGUCUCAGUGGGGUGUCAGGUCACGAAACCAGCUGUGAUCUCCAGGUUGGAGCAGGGUCAAGAACCAUGGAUGGAGGAGGAAGAAAUCCUUGGAUGGAGCUUUCCAGGCAACUGUUCUUAAAAGCCUUGGAUCUUUGCAAGCAGCUGUGGACAUUUGGCCCAAGACCUUGAGAUGCCCACAUGAUUCCUGUUACCUGCACUCAUCACAUGCCACUGCAUGAUUCCUCUCCUUUCCCUGGAUUUUUAGAGAAAGACAAAUUCUAUUUUUAUUUAUCCUUUGAUUCUACCCUGUUGUCCCCUAAGACCUUGCUUGCUCAGUCUGUCUCUAGAAUCUUCAAUCUUAUGCUUUUCCCCAUGGUUAUGAAAUAGACUUUCUCAUACUUUCAGGGAUUUGUAGAUUUGCCCUAUUUUAAAAUAACUGUGUUAUUUUGUGCCAUUCAUUUUUACUUUAGUUGUUUUUUCUUUUUCUUCUUUUACUGUGAAAUGCCUCGAAAACUUAUCUGCUACCUUUUAUAUGACUUUAAUUUCCUCUUCUUUGAAAACCAUAUAAUAUGGCCCCCUUUUGCCUAAUAGCUCAUAACUGAAGCUUUCCCCCUACCUCAGUAUAAUCCCAUGGGGAGAAGAGCCUUUAUUUUAUUUGUCCUUGUUUCUGUGGGAUGCACAUGGUGGACAUUGACUAACUCCCUCUUCCUUCCAGGACAAGGAUCCUUUAUCAAGCAUAUGUUCAGGGCAGUUGUUGUUAAUCAGGGUUUCACACCAGAAUCACCUGGGGAGCUUGAAAAAUACCCCCAGGUGGGGUCCCAACCCAGAAAGUCCUCGUGAGGGAAGAUCAGUAGACAUCGAUUUUGUCUCUUAGGAAUUCAGGAGUGGGGCUUAAACAUUUCUAAACAGAGGAGUUCCCUGGUUGGAUUGGGUAUGAGUGCCAGGGGGAAACAGCAGGUACAGUCUGUGGUUUAAAACGUAAGUGAAGACAAAAGCAAAUAAGGAUCUAAGCAAAGGAUGAAGAAUACAACAUUUAAGAUUCUCAAAGUAGAUUCACAGUGAUCUGGAAACCAACACGUGUGAGGAACGUUAAUAUGGGUUUACUGAGGGGCUGGUCUGCAGCCAAGUCUGUCAGACAUGGGAAGGUGACACAUAGGAUUUGGUUGUCAGCCAGAUUUGGUAUCAGGGAACCAUGACUGAAGAAAGUGGUCAUCCACAUGAUCAGAAUACAAUGGGGAGUCUUCUGGGGGAAGGAUGGCUUGCGUUCUGCCUAGGGUGCUUAUUCUUAUAUCCUUACACUGGACAUCCUAAAGACCUUGUAGGUCCAUGUGAGAAUAAAUCACUGCAGAAUGGACCUCUGGCUCUGAGAUAAUUCCUUUAACAAUAAUGGUCUUGAUGCUUUGAGAAAAUUCAUCUGGUAUGCAGAAUGAAGGGGAACUUAAGGUGGGAAGGACACAGAAGUGCAGACUAGUGAAGAGCCUAUUUGUAACCCAGGAAUAAAGUGAGGUAACUCACACUAGGUUUUACUUCUUUCAACCUGAGUCCUUUGCUCAUAUUUCCAAAACACCCUUCUCUCUCUAGAUUUCCCUGGAAACACUAGUCUUUCUUUGCUCUUGCCUUGCUUGAAUAUCCUUAUCUCCUGAUGGGACCUCCUUAUUAUGUGCCCCUCUUAUUGAGUGAUGGAUGCUAGAGCCAGUGCUGGCCUGUGAUAGCCUAUUGUACCUGACUCUUCCCAGCUGUGCACUCAGUGACAUCACCUUAGUAGCUUGAAACUGGCGCUGGUGGGGGGGCGUGUUUUCACCGUGGAAAUUGGUAAAUACCACAGAUCAGGGUUCUCCUCCUCCUGGUUAGCUGGUUCUUCAGCACCUCAAUGCCUUGAAUACAUUACCCUUCCAGUUUUUCUCUGUUACUUACUUUUCCUCAUGUGUGUUUUUAUCUGCUUCCCAAUUUACUGUGUCAGACUUGUCCAUAGCAAAGCUACUUCCAUUCAUUGUUAAUGUUUUAUCUAUAUUUCCAGUAUCUGAUUUUUUCUUUUCAAAAGCCAAGGGAGUAGGAAGUGUUUGUAGUAGGAUUAGGAUUAGGAUUAGGAUUACUUAAUCUGGUCAUUGAGGUGUGAAACCUCAAAGUUAAUCCUCCCUCCAAACGUUUCUGAAAUAAUUUAGGUCUGUGAUGUGAUCUUGGAAAGAUUAACAAGUUUGUGUCAUUAUUUUUUUUUCCUAGAAGAAGUUUUGCAAGUUGAUACCCAAGUAGAUAGACAACAGGAACACCAAGACAGACUUUUGAGGCAAGUUGCAUUCCUAGACAAGAACAAAUUGACCAAAAAAGACCACCAUGAAUGUAAUACAAUUGGAAAAAAAACCUGUCAGAGCACAAACCUUGGACCUUCAAGACAACAGGUCCACAAAUGUGACUCAUGUGGAAUGAGUUUGAAAUGUAAUAUAGACUUUAGUCAUAAUGCAUACCUUGCAAGAAGGAGAUUUGAGUGUGAUGGACAGGGGACCUUAUUUCUCUAUUCUAAGCUUGAAACCCCACAUUCUGGAGUACAUUCACGUGAAUGUAACCAAUGUAGAAAAGUUUUUAGCCAUGAUCAAGCCCUUAAUGCUGAUCAGGGAAUUGACAGUGGUGAGACACCCCAUGAAUGUACCAAAUGUGGAAAAGCCUUUUCCCACAGAUCAGAACUCGUUACACAUCAGAGGGUCCACAGAGGUGAGAAAUCCGAUGGAUGCAAUGAACAGGGGGAUGGCUUCAGGGAGAAAGUUUGCCUCAACAAAUGGGGAAAUCACACAAAAGAGAAACCAAAUGGAAACAGCGACUGUGGCAAAACGCUUUCCCAGAAGACAAGCCUGUCUAUACCUGAGACAAUUCUUGCUGGAGAGAAGCCUUAUAAGUGUACAGAAUGUGAGAAAACCUUCUCCCACAAGUCACGUCUCAUCGAACAUCACAGAUCUCAUACGGGAGAGAAGCCCUACGGCUGCAAAGAAUGUGGGAAGUCUUUCUCCCGGAAGUCAUGCCUCAUUAUCCAUUACAGAAUCCACACGGGAGAGAAGCCCUAUGGAUGCAGUGAAUGUGGGAAAGCCUUUUUCCAGAAGUCACACCUCAUUCUGCAUCAGAGGACUCACACAGGAGAGAAACCCUAUGAGUGCAGUGAAUGUGGGAAAGCUUUCUCCCAGAACUCAUGCCUUAUUAUACACAAGAGAACUCAUAUGGGAAAGAAACCCUACGAAUGCUCUGACUGUGGGAAAACAUUCUCUCAGAAGGCAAACCUCAUCAGACAUCACAGAAUUCACACUAGGGAGAAACUGUAUGGAUGAAGUGAGAGGAGGUUUCAUCAAGAAGUCACAACACAUCUAGGAAUGAAAACUGUGGAUAUUCUGGAUGUGGGAAAUCCUUCAGCAAGAAGUCCAGUGCCACUGUGUGCAGAGGUUCACACCGAGGUGCAAUUCUCCCAAUUUGGAGAAUUAGGAGAAACUCGGUCUCUUAAAACCAGUGAUAGGAUACUUAUGCUCUAGAGUGAUAUAUUUUUAUAGGAUAUACUUAAUUAUAAUGUGUAUCUAUAUCUAUAUGAACUGUGGAUAUUGAGCUUUGAAGUAUGUGAAUAAAUUAAAUCAUUAAGACAACAGAUCUAAUCAGCAUCAGAACAAUCCCAGGGGUUAUAGGAGUUAUGUUCCUACAUAGAAAGAAUUUUAUUAUUUUUGAACUGCAUUGGUAAUUGAAUGUAAUUGUGAACUUGUAGACAUAAUAUAUAGAAUGACAUCUAUCAACGCUUUCCACACUAAAUCAUACCUUUUUGUCUUUGUAAUAUACUUUAUAACUGGAACAAUAUGAAUUUAUUAUUAAACCAGAAGUCCACACACCAUACCACAUACCAUUGCUCUUAAUGUUUGUUGGCAAGUAUUACAGAGCCCCCUGGAUCUGGAAACCAACAAUUUCAUGAGAUCUUCUGGUCUCUCUCAAUCAACUAGUUUAUAGGUUAUGUUUAUAUUAAAUGUGUAAGGUUAGGACUCCCUUUUCUGGCAAUAUAUGGUGGGCUAUCUAAAGUGAAAACGAUAUCACCGUAAACAACUAGAAAUGAUGGACGAUAACAGAUAACAUUCUUUAAAUGCAUAAUUCAGCUUGCAAGAAAAUAAGUGAAGUUUCCAGGUGCCAGCUAGGAAGAGGGAACUGAAAACCAGAAAUCCUGUUUGAGUCGAUGCUGUAGCUAUCCUAUGGCUUUAACUUUGUUUACCCAGAAGCUUGGGUGUUAUAGACUAUAGAGGGACGAGAAAGAAGGCCUUGGAGCCACACAAGGCAGAGAGUUGGCCCUGAAAUAACUCAAAUUGAGAAAUUUCAAAAGUAUGUACAUAUAGUUAAAGGGGGGACUAGAGAAAAAUCUCAUUUGCAGAGGAAGCUUGUCUGUCUCUUCUUGGGCUCAGAUGGGGAAAGAGUUUACCUUGAUGAUUUAUAAGCCCUGACCUGCACCUCAUGUAAGUUAGAAUUUUGAAUUUGCCCUAUUCAUGUCACAGGUUUUCAGUUGAAAAACUUCACAAUUACUGGUCUUUGAAACAACUUACAGAGGCGAACCCAAAAUAUGUUUGGAGGCAGAUAACGUCAACCCAUGUUUCUUAGGAUUCUG